rnacentral:rRNA from 1 species
GACGAACGCUGGCGGCGUGCCUAAUACAUGCAAGUUGAGCGAUGAAGAUUGGUGCUUGCACCAAUUUGAAGAGCAGCGAACGGGUGAGUAACGCGUGGGGAAUCUGCCUUUGAGCGGGGGACAACAUUUGGAAACGAAUGCUAAUACCGCAUAAUAACUUUAAACAUAAGUUUUAAGUUUGAAAGAUGCAAUUGCAUCACUCAAAGAUGAUCCCGCGUUGUAUUAGCUAGUUUGUGAGGUAAAGGCUCACCAAGGCGAUGAUACAUAGCCGACCUGAGAGGGGGAUCGGCCACAUUGGGACUGAGACACGGCCCAAACUCCUACGGGAGGCAGCAGUAGGGAAUCUUCGGCAAUGGACGAAAGUCUGACCGAGCAACGCCGCGUGAGUGAAGAAGGUUUUCGGAUCGUAAAACUCUGUUGGUAGAGAAGAACGUUGGUGAGAGUGGAAAGCUCAUCAAGUGACGGUAACUACCCAGAAAGGGACGGCUAACUACG